GGAUUCCCCUAGUAACUGCGAGUGAAGCGGGAAAAGCUCAAAUUUAAAAUCUGGCAGUCUCUGGCUGUCCGAGUUGUAAUCUAGAGAAGUAAUGCCCGUGCUGGACCGUGUAUAAGUCUCCUGGGAUGGGGCGUCAUAGAGGGUGAGAAUCCCGUCUUUGACACGGACUACCAGUGCAUUGUGGUAUGCUCUCAAAGAGUCGAGUUGUUUGGGAAUGCAGCUCAAAAUGGGUGGUAAAUUCCAUCUAAAGCUAAAUAUUGGCGAGAGACCGAUAGCGAACAAGUACCGUGAGGGAAAGAUGAAAAGAACUUUGGAAAGAGAGUUAAACAGUACGUGAAAUUGCUGAAAGGGAAACGCUUGAAGUCAGUCGCGUUGGCUGGGAAUCAGCCUUGCUUUUGCAUGGUGUACUUUCUGGUUGACGGGUCAGCAUCAAUUUUGAUCGCUGGAAAAAGGCCUGGGGAAUGUGGCAGCUUUGGCUGUGUUAUAGCCCCUAGUCGCAUACAGUGGUUGGGAUUGAGGAACUCAGCACGCCGCAAGGCCGGGUUUCGACCACGUUCGUGCUUAGGAUGCUGGCAUAAUGGCUUUAAGCGACCCGUCUUGAAACACGGACCAAGGAGUCUAACAUGCCUGCGAGUAUUUGGGUGGAAAACCCAAGUGCGUAAUGAAAGUGAAAGUUGAGAUCCCUGUCGCGGGGAGCAUCGACGCCCGGACCAGAACUUUUGGGACGGAUCCGCGGUGGAGCAUGUAUGUUGGGACCCGAAAGAUGGUGAACUAUGCCUGAAUAGGGUGAAGCCAGAGGAAACUCUGGUGGAGGCUCGUAGCGAUUCUGACGUGCAAAUCGAUCGUCAAAUUUGGGUAUAGGGGCGAAAGACUAAUCGA
rnacentral:rRNA from 1 species